AACGAACGCUGGCGGCAGGCUUAACACAUGCCAGUCGAGCGCCCCGCAAGGGGAGCGGCAGACGGGCGAGUAACGCGUGGGAACGUACCUUUUGGUUCGGAACAACUCCGGGAAACUGGAGCUAAUACCGGAUAAGCCCUAACGGGGAAAGAUUUAUCGCCGAAAGAUCGGCCCGCGUCUGAUUAGCUAGUUGGUGAGGUAACGGCUCACCAAGGCGACGAUCAGUAGCUGGUCUGAGAGGAUGAUCAGCCACUCUGGGACUGAGACACGGCCCAGACUCCUACGGGAGGCAGCAGUGGGGAAUAUUGGACAAUGGGCGCAAGCCUGAUCCAGCCAUGCCGCGUGAGUGAUGAAGGCCUUAGGGUUGUAAAGCUCUUUUGUCCGGGAAGAUAAUGACUGUACCGGAAGAAUAAGCCCCGGCUAACUUCGUG
rnacentral:rRNA from 1 species